CAGGGAGACAAUAAAUUGAUUGUGAUGUCUAAGUUAUUUAUUCUUAGGCCGCAAUCCUGUCACCUUAAGGUCGAUCGGUACCUCAGAUUUUUGAAUUAGUUUUAUAAUUGAUUCUUUGAUUUCAGUUCCUAAACUUGUCUAGGUCACACCCAACAAAGGUUUCUCCUGGGCCAUUAGCUCAGGUGGUUAGAGCGCACCCCUGAUAAGGGUGAGGUCCCUGGUUCAAGUCCAGGAUGGCCCAUUCGUUGUUGGGGGUAUAGCUCAGUUGGUAGAGCGCCUGCUUUGCAAGCAGGAUGUCAGCGGUUCGAGUCCGCUUACCUCCACUGAAAACUAUCCUGAUAACUAAAUUCUGGAGAAAAAAAUUGUAGAUGUGGCUUAGAAUUGUCUAUUUGAAGAGAACCUAGCUUCUUGUCAUCUUUUUAUAGUUGAUAAAAUGCUGGGCUCGCAUGGAUUAUUUCCAUGAGAAUUCAGUAGAACCUUGAAAACUGCAUAGAUUAGAAAGAAUAAAGCAUCUCAUGGAUGCAUAAUUCUGUUUUUGUAAUUUAGCCUUAAAACUAAAUUAUAAAAUUCUAGAAUUCAUGUUUAAUUCUUGAGUAAAAGCCGAGCACAAUUGAUUUUGUGAUUGUAUUUAA
rnacentral:tRNA from 1 species